AAAUUUUUUAGUCAAUUAUGAUUUUGAAUUGCAAAUUCAGAGGUAACAGUGUUAAAAAUUUU
rnacentral:tRNA from 1 species